rnacentral:SRP_RNA from 1 species
GCUGGGCACGGUGGCGUGUGCCUGUAAUCCCAGCUACUCAGGAGGCUGAGGCAGGAGAAUUGCCUGAACCCAGGAGGCGGAGGUUGCGGUGAGCUGAGAUCACGCCAUUGCACUCCAGCCUGGGUAACAAAAUUGAAACUCCAUCUCAAAAAAAAAAAAUUUUUUUAAAGACAGAAUCUUGCUCUGUUGCCUAGGCUGGAGUGGAGUGGCACAAUUUUGACUCACUGCAACCUCCACAUCCUGAGUUCAAGCAAUUCUCCUGCCUCAU